rnacentral:rRNA from 1 species
AUGGCUCGGGUGGUUGGUGCCUCCGGCGCUUGCGCGCUGCUCGUCGUCCUGCUCGUCGCGUGUGCCGCUUCCGCAGCGCGCACCGAGCCGGGCGCCGCGCGGCAGCUGUGGGACGACGGGAGGAAGGUGGGGGGAAGGACGGAGGUGAGGGACGUGGAGGGCGACAGGGAGGUGCAGGAGCUUGGGCGGUACUCCGUGGAGGAGCACAACCGGCGCCGGGAGGAGGGCUGCGAGGGCGGCGGCGGCGGCGUCUGCGCCCGGCUGGAGUUCGCCCGCGUGGUGUCCGCGCAGCGCCAGGUGGUCUCCGGAAUCAAGUACUACCUCCGUGUCGCGGCCGCCGUGGACAACGGCGCGGGGAGCAACGGCAUCAGCGAUGGACGCGUGUUCGACGCCGUGGUGGUCGUCAAGCCCUGGCUCCAGUCCCGCGCGCUGGUCAGGUUCGCGCCGGCCGACUCCAACUGA